ACAUCUUUAGUCACAACCAUAGCACCAGAAUGCACUUCAUUUAUUAUGAUCACAAAAAGGACGUAUACACCAACCACUCUAUACAUUUUUUUCCACAAAGAACCACUAUAUACAUGUUCCUCCAAAUGUUUACAUCCUCCAGCACUUUCUUCCCUCAUCCUGAUGCAUGCCACCCUCUCCAGCACUUGUCUCCUCAGCCCUCGGUACUCUGCUCCUACAUAGCAGUUGUACAGAAGCAAGGUAUUCACUCGGGAAAAAAAUAUAUUUCAACCAAGUAGAUGCAGAUGAAUAUGAUCGAGUGGAAGAAUCAAGAACUUAUAUUUAUACCAUGAGGUCUAUGAAAAAUAAUAAACUCGCUGAGGAGAAGAAACAUGAUGUCAUUGCGUUGCUUUCGAACCACCGGGACAAAGUGGACAACAUCAUGACCGUGUCAUUGACAAUAGCCACACUGCAGCAUCAUGCGCCGCUCUGCAUAGAGCCCUAGACCAUAAUCCUCCCCGGAUAUGGCGAGAGGUGAUUAUGAACAGAGCCUCCGGGCCUUCGUGGUGGGGACAUCAACAGACAAUAUUAUGAAUUUGUUUAGGUUCUGUGCUACUCAUUGUCGUGAACGUAAUGAACAACUUGAUGGAGAAAAGGAUUAGCCUACCUGAGAAGCAUGAUGGUGGCAGCUAUGUUAAGAGAUUACGGAAUUGUCAACACUUCAAUGAUUUCAAAGCUUGCAGUUUGUUCUGUGGAGACGAUUCAAAUUUUUAAUUCCUCGAAUGUCCUUUUUGUCUAUAGGAUGCCCUCAUGGUCUCAUAUAUCUCUCUGUGUGAAAAGAUAACACUUUAAAGGCGAGUCUCAUGAAUGCAAGAUAAAACCGCGUUGGUUAUGUUCAAACUUUUCGUGUCACAAUUGUGCUUUAUUUCCUGCAAACCGACACCUUACUAUACAUGAUAAUAUCUAAAAUAACAGGCAGCUGUAUGAUCUUAUUCUACUACUGCCUAACUUUGUGAUACAUGAUAAUUGAGCGGAUGUGACUUCUCUAAUAUGCAUGUGCUAUACAUAAGAAAAUCAAGAUAAAAAAUCUUUGGUAUGGGAUGAAAUCGAGAUGCAUAGAAAAUCACUUAUAAUGGGUGCUUGCGUGUGGUCUAAGUAGUACAGAGCGAGAAGAUAAUUGGGAGCCUAUGUCCAUUGAUGCCUACCUGCUUGCAUACAUGUGUACUGCCUUGUUAGAUUACUAUAUAUGCACCACGUCGACAGAGCUUGUUGGCAUGUGCUGCAUAGAUGACGAUAUGCAAGAAGGUAAUGGAUCUGAAAAUAAUGCAAAUAAUAAGGAAUCAAGAAUGUCUAGUGUGGAUUAGUCUUGAACUCUCGAUGGGCAUCAACCAAGUAAUGCACCACAUGGCAUACUGUCGUAGCAAAUAUCCAAGUUCUGUAGGCCGGUGGGACAACCUGAUUUGUGCGAGGAACUGAAGAUGGACCAAACAAACAACAAGUAUAAGAAGGUAUUAAGGCAAGGGAGUGACAUGGAGUUCAGUUGAGAUCUGUACCAUUGUGGUAGUGGUGGCUGGUGGUAAAAAGAGGAGAUGCUAUGGAUGAUAGGCAGUAGCACCAAGAUCUGAAUCAACCCAGCUAGAAUUUUCAGUGUGUAGUUGUGUGCAAACCUUGACAAAUGAUGUCCAGCUAGGCUUUGUUUGGCUGCACCUGUGGAGUUGUGGGCAAUCUGCCUAGUCAUUCUUCCCCUCCUUGUCCAUGUACUCUCCUUCCGGCU
rnacentral:lncRNA from 1 species